GUUUUCUUUAAUAAGGUAAAGAACACCAAAAUAACUAAGUUUUUAUUUGUGGUGAUUUCAGAUUUAUGAAAUUGGAGGUGGAUCGGGAACUUGUGUAGAGAUGAGGGAAGAAAAUCUAUGUAUGGGAUUUGUAGACCAGCCCGCCUUCUCUAAUUGCAAGGUUAUCUCAUGCUCAAUCCAAAUUUCCCAUCAGGCAUACUGCUAUGUCGUUUGAUG
rnacentral:lncRNA from 1 species